rnacentral:rRNA from 1 species
GAAUUCGCCCUUCGGUAAUUCCAGCUCCAAUGGUGUAUGCUAACACUGUUGCAGUUAAAAAGCUCGUAGUUUAAUUUUUAAGGGAAUUGACUAUAUGUGUUCUUUAUGAACUGCAAUAUAUGUUGAUUAUCCUUAUUUUGCGAUUUUUAAUGUUGAAAUUUGGUUUUUGGCAGUAAAAUAGUUGUACAUUUACUUUGAGAAAAUUAGUGUGCUCUAAGCAGUCGUACGGCCAUAUCCUAAAGCAUGGAAUAAUAAGUAAUGACAACAAUCACUUUCUGUUGAUUUGGGAGAUUGUUGUAAUGAUUUGUAGAGCUUGUCGGAGGUACUAGUAUUUUAUCGUUAGAGGUGAAGUUCUGGGAUCGAUAAAAGAAUAACAACUGCGUAAGCAAUUACCUAGGAUUUUCUUCUUGAUCAAGAACGUAAGUUGGGAGAUCGAAGACGAUCAGAUACCGUCGUAGUCUCACCUUUAAACUAUAUUGGCUAGGGGUUAGUAAAUGUUUACAUGACUUUAUUAGAACCUUAAGAGAAAUCAAAGCUUUUGGAUUCCGGGGGGAGUAUGGUCGCAAGGCUGAAACUUAAAGGAAUUGACGGAAGGGCACCACAAGAUGUGGAUCCUGUGGCUUAAUUUGACUCAACACUGGGAAACUUAUCAGGUCCAAACAUAGGUAUGAUUGACAGAUUGAAAGUUCUUUCUUGAUUCUGUGGGUGGUGGUGCAUGGCCGUUCUUAGUUGGUGGAGUGAUUUGUCUGGUUAAUUCCGUUAACGAACGAGACUAUUACCUGCUUUAUAGUGAUAUCCUUUGGUUAGGAUCUUUACUUCUUAGAAGAACUAGCUUUUGAUAAAUUGCUGGAAGUUGAUAGCAAUAACAGGUCUGUGAUGCCCUUAGAUGUCCGGGGCUGCGCACGGGCUACAUUAGGAGAGUAAUUGAGUUUGUUGAACUAAGCUUGAGAGGGGCGUAGAAAUCUUAAACCUAUUCUUUAUUUGGGAUCGCGCUUUGAAACUUUUACGUGUCAACUAGGAAUAUCUAGUAUGUGUAUGUCAUCAACGUGUCCUGAAUACGUCCCUGCCCUUUGUACACACCGCCCGUCGCUCCUACCGAUUGGAUGAGUUGGUGAGUUGAUUGGAAUAAGAGCUAUUUUCUGACAUAGAUGGUUGUGGUCUUUAAAAAUUUACAAACUAGAUUAUCUAGAGGAAGGAGAAGUCGUAACAAGGUAAGGGCGAAUUC